rnacentral:lncRNA from 1 species
UUUUAUUUUCUUUUAGGUUGUUUUUUUGGUUUUGCUGUUGUAUUGAGUUUUUGUUUAUUUUUUGAGAAAGAACUUAAAUUUGGGUGGUUAUGGAGGGGGAAAGGAUAUUGAAUAAUAAUAAAUAAUAUAAAUAUAGUAAAUGAAUGAAAAAAGAAAGAAAGAAAGAAAGAAAGGAAGGAAGGAAGGAAGAAAGAAAGAGAGAGGUCUCAUGUAGCCCAGGCUGGCUGUGAACUUAACAUUUAUCUAAGAACAGCCUCUUGUUUCCCCCUCCCUAGUGUUGGGAUUCCGAGUGCCAUGCAUGACACCAUGCCUGGAUCCACGUUGUAACCACAUGUUCCCUUUCCAAGGUCUCACUAAGUAGUCUAGUUGGCCUUGAACUUCCUGUGUGCAUGUUGUAAUUUUAGUUGUUCAUAUAUACUCCCUACUGUCCCAUUCAUCCCUUCUGUGUGUGACCAUCUCUUCCUUAGGAGCUUUGUGCCAAAAUGGGAUAGUCCUAAAUUCUUCCACUUCUCAUGGAGGAUCACCUCAAACAUCAGGCUGCUUGGUUGCCCUGUAACCCUAUGAUUUAAUUUCAUUCAUUUUGUUUUUAUUUGAGUGAGUAGAUUUAGUUAUGUUCUAAAACUUGGUUCAAUUCAGAAGAUUUAUAGAAUUAUAUUUAAAAUUUUUAUGUAUCCUUUACUGAUAAGUAAAAAUCACAUAUAAGAAAUAUGGUUUCAUAUAUAUAUAUAUACACAUACAUAUAUAUAUCCCACUUUUUCAGUUACUAGUGGCAGUUUUUUCAGUUUUUUAAUUUGAAGAUAUAUACAUGCAUAAAUCAUAACAAUAAAAAUCUUUUCCAAAGUAAAAAUGGUAGAUGAUUAAGUAUAUAUAUAUAUGUAAAAUAUAUGUAUACACACAUACACUUUUUAUACUUGUUUAUAUAUGAUAUAUAAAUAUGGUGUGUAUAUAUAUAUAUAUACAUAUAUACACACAUAUACACACACACACUGUACACUCACACAUAUAUAUACAUAUACAUAUACAUAUACAUAUACAUAUACAUAUACAUAUACCAUUGUUUAAAAGUAUAAACAAGAAAGCUUUAAAGUACUCUUACAUGCUUUAUAUUUUACUGCUAUGUAGACUGAUUUUUCAUUGUAGCAAUUUUUGAAAAGAUUUAUGAUCUAUCCAGAAAGUUGAAUUUUGUAAACAUUUCUACAAAUGAGGUUGAUCUGAAUGUGCUAACCCACAGCUGAUUAAUUGACGAGAGCUAAGUAGCAAUGCCAUGUGCACAACAUGAGCUCAUUUCCAUGCAUGCUUAUGAAGCAUGUAUGAGUAUGUAUAGAUGAGGUAUAGAGUUGCUAAUGCAUGCUUUGAAAGACACUCAUCUUUCUGUAUUGGUUGCCCUUCAGUGUGGGUUAGGGAAUAUUCUAUUUAAGGAAAAGACACUUUUAUUCCUUCAGUUUUCUUCCCCAGGUGAUAUUUACCACUUUUGUUAGC